rnacentral:rRNA from 1 species
AUCAACUUUCGAUGGUAGGAUAGAGNNCUACCAUGGUGGUAACGGGUAACGGGGUGUUAGGGCACGACACCGGAGAGGGAGCCUGAGAAACGGCUACCACAUCCAAGGAAGGCAGCAGGCGCGCAAAUUACCCAAUCCCGACACGGGGAGGUAGUGACAAUAAAUAACAAUACAGGGUUCUUUUGGAUCUUGUAAUUGGAACGAGUACAAUUUAAAUCUCUUAACGAGGAACAAUUGGAGGGCAAGUCUGGUGCCAGCAGCCGCGGUAAUUCCAGCUCCAAUAGCGUAUAUUAAAGUUGUUGCAGUUAAAAAGCUCGUAGUUGAAUUUCGGGAUCAAUAUUUCGGUCAUGUCGUUGGUAUGCACUGUUAUCAUUGAUUUCUCACCUUCUAAAGAACCGUAAUGCCAUUAAUUUGGUGUUACGGGGAAUUAGGACUGUUACCUUGAAAAAAUUAGAGUGUUUAAAGCAGGCUCACGCUUGAAUACAUUAGCAUGGAAUAAUGAAAUAGGACAUCCGAUUCUAUUUUGUUGGUUUCUAGGAUCGAUGUAAUGAUUAAUAGGGAUAGUUGGGGGCAUUAGUAUUCAAUUGUCAGAGGUGAAAUUCUUGGAUUUAUUGAAGACUAACUACUGCGAAAGCAUUUUGCCAAGGAUGUUUUCAUUUAAUCAAGAACGAAAGUUAGGGGAUCGAAGACGAUCAGAUUACCCGCCGUAGUCUUUGACCAUUAAACUAUUGCCGACUAGGGAUCGGAUGAUGUUUAUUUUUUUAAUGACUCAUUCGGCGCCCUUACGGGGAACCAAAGUGUUUGGGUU